UACGUAGGGUGCGAGCGUUGUCCGGAAUUAUUGGGCGUAAAGAGCUCGUAGGCGGUGUGUCACGUCGUUCGUGAAAACCUGCAGCUUAACUGUGGGCGUGCGGUCGAUACGGGCAUCACUGGAGUUCGGCAGGGGAGACUGGAAUUCCUGGUGUAGCGGUGAAAUGCGCAGAUAUUAGGAGGAACACCGGUGGCGAAGGCGCCACUCUGGGCCGAAACUGACGCUGAGGAGCGAAAGCGUGGGUAGCAAACAGG
rnacentral:rRNA from 1 species